rnacentral:rRNA from 1 species
AGGUUAAGCUACAAAGAGCACACGGAGGAUGCCUAGGCGCCAGGAGCCGACGAAGGACGUGGCGAACAACGAUAAGGCCUCGGGGAGCUGUAAGCAAGCUUUGAUCCGGGGAUGUCCGAAUGGGGAAACCCGGCUGUCUUCAUCGACAGUCACUUUCUGCUGAAUACAUAGGCAGAAUAGAGGCAGACCAGGGGAACUGAAACAUCUAAGUACCCUGAGGAAGAGAAAACAAUAGUGAUUCCGUCAGUAGCGGCGAGCGAACGCGGAUUAGCCCAAACCAAGGAGCUUGCUCCUUGGGGUUGUGGGACGUCUCACAUGGAGUUACAAAGGAACCGGUUAGAUGAAGAGGUCUGGAAAGGCCCGCCAAAGAAGGUGAAAGCCCUGUAAUUCAAAACUUGUUCUCUCCGAGACGGAUCCCGAGUAGUGCGGGGCACGUGAAACCCCGUAUGAAUCCGGCAGGACCAUCUGCCAAGGCUAAAUACUCCCUGGCGACCGAUAGUGAAGCAGUACCGUGAGGGAAAGGUGAAAAGCACCCCGGAAGGGGAGUGAAAUAGAUCCUGAAACCGUGUGCUUACAAGAAGUCAGAGCCCGAUCUAUGGGUGAUGGCGUGCCUUUUGUAGAAUGAACCGGCGAGUUACGUUCCCGUGCAAGGUUAAGGUGAAGAGCUGAAGCCGCAGCGAAAGCGAGUCUGAAUAGGGCGAAUGAGUACGUGGACGUAGACCCGAAACCGGGUGAUCUACCCCUGUCCAGGGUGAAGGUGCGGUAACACGCACUGGAGGCCCGAACCCACGCAUGUUGAAAAAUGCGGGGAUGAGGUGGGGGUAGCGGAGAAAUUCCAAUCGAACCCCGGAGAUAGCUGGUUCUCCCCGAAAUAGCUUUAGGGCUAGCCUCGGAAAGAAGAAUCGUGGAGGUAGAGCACUGAUUGGGUGCGGGGCCCGCAAGGGUUACCAAGCUCAGUCAAACUCCGAAUGCCAUAGAUUUAGUUCCGGGAGUCAGACAGUGAGUGCUAAGAUCCAUUGUCGAAAGGGAAACAGCCCAGACCAUCAGCUAAGGUCCCCAAGUGUGUGUUAAGUGGGAAAGGAUGUGGAGUUGCACAGACAACCAGGAUGUUGGCUUAGAAGCAGCCACCAUUGAAAGAGUGCGUAAUAGCUCACUGGUCGAGUGACUCUGCGCCGAAAAUGUAACGGGGCUAAACACACCACCGAAGCUAUGGCUUGAUGCUUGCAUCAGGGGUAGGGGAGCGUUGAAUGCGGAUUGAAGGUGUACCGUAAGGAGCGCUGGACUGCAUUCAAGUGAGAAUGCCGGUAUGAGUAACGAAAAGAUCUGUGAGAAUCAGAUCCGCCGAAAGCCUAAGGGUUCCUGAGGAAGGUUCGUCCGCUCAGGGUAAGUCGGGACCUAAGGCGAGGCCGAUAGGCGUAGUCGAAGGACAACAGGUCGAAAUUCCUGUACCACCGUAAUCCGUUAUGAGCGAUGGGGUGACGCAGUAGGGUAGUGACGCGGACUGAUGGAUGUCCGUCUAAGCAGUGAGGCUGGUGUGUAGGCAAAUCCGCACAUCGUAAGGCUGGGCUGUGAUGGGGAGCGAAAAUUGUAGUAGCGAAGGUCAUGAUCUCAGACUGCCAAGAAAAGCCUCUAGCCAGGAGAAGGUGCCCGUACCGCAAACCGACACAGGUAGGCGAGAAGAGAAUUCUAAGGCGCGCGGAAGAACUCUCGUUAAGGAACUCGGCAAAAUGACCCCGUAACUUCGGGAGAAGGGGUGCCUCGGUAGGGUGAAUAGCCCGAGGGGGCCGCAGUGAAAAGGCCCAAAGCGACUGUUUAGCAAAAACACAGGUCUGUGCGAAGCCGCAAGGCGAAGUAUACGGCUGACGCCUGCCCGGUGCUGGAAGGUUAAGGGGAGUGGUAAGCCUUCGGGCGAAGCUAUGAACCGAAGCCCCAGUAAACGGCGGCCGUAACUAUAACGGUCCUAAGGUAGCGAAAUUCCUUGUCAGGUAAAUUCUGACCCGCACGAAUGGCGUAACGACUUGGGCGCUGUCUCAACGAGAGAUCCGGUGAAAUUUUAAUACUGUGAAGAUGCAGGUUACCCGCGACAAGACGGAAAGACCCCAUGGAGCUUUACUGCAGCUUGAUAUUGAAUUUGGGUACGAUCUGUACAGGAUAGGUGGGAGCCGUUGAACUUUGAGCGCCAGCUUGAAGGGAGGCAUCCUUGGGAUACCACCCUGAUCGUAUCUAGGUUCUAACUUGGUACCGUAAUCCGGUGCGAGGACAGUGUCAGGUGGGCAGUUUGACUGGGGCGGUCGCCUCCUAAAGAGUAACGGAGGCGCCCCAAGGUUCCCUCAGAAUGGUUGGAAAUCAUUCGAAGAGUGCAAAGGCAGAAGGGAGCUUGACUGCGAGACCUACAAGUCGAGCAGGGACGAAAGUCGGGCUUAGUGAUCCGGUGGUACCGCAUGGAAGGGCCAUCGCUCAACGGAUAAAAGCUACCCUGGGGAUAACAGGCUUAUCUCCCCCAAGAGUCCACAUCGACGGGGAGGUUUGGCACCUCGAUGUCGGGCUCAUCGCAUCCUGGGGCUGAAGUAGGUCCCAAGGGUUGGGCUGUUCGCCCAUUAAAGCGGUACGCGAGCUGGGUUCAGAACGUCGGUGAGACAGUUCGGUCCCUAUCUGUCGUGGGCGUAGGAAAUUUGAGAGGAGCUGUCCUUAGUACGAGAGGACCGGGAUGGACGUACCGCUGGUGUACCAGUUGUUCCGCCAGGAGCACCGCUGGGUAGCUAUGUACGGAAGGGAUAAGCGCUGAAAGCAUCUAAGCGUGAAGCCCCCCUCAAGAUGAGAUUUCCCAGAAGGUAAAAGCCCUGUAGUUCAAAACUUGUUCUCUCCGAGACGGAUCCCGAGUAGUGCGGGGCACGUGAAACCCCGUAUGAAUCCGGCAGGACCAUCUGCCAAGGCUAAAUACUCCCUGGCGACCGAUAGUUGAAGCAGUACCGUGAGGGAAAGGUGAAAAGCACCCCGGAAGGGGAGUGAAAUAGAUCCUGAAACCGUGUGCUUACAAGAAGUCAGAGCCCGAUCUAUGGGUGAUGGCGUGCCUUUUGUAGAAUGAACCGGCGAGUUACGUUCCCGUGCAAGGUUAAGGUGAAGAGCUGAAGCCGCAGCGAAAGCGAGUCUGAAUAGGGCGAAUGAGUACGUGGACGUAGACCCGAAACCGGGUGAUCUACCCCUGUCCAGGGUGAAGGUGCGGUAACACGCACUGGAGGCCCGAACCCACGCAUGUUGAAAAAUGCGGGGAUGAGGUGGGGGGUAGCGGAGAAAUUCCAAUCGAACCCGGAGAUAGCUGGUUCUCCCCGAAAUAGCUUUAGGGCUAGCCUCGGAAAGAAGAAUCGUGGAGGUAGAGCACUGAUUGGGUGCGGGGCCCGCAAGGGUUACCAAGCUCAGUCAAACUCCGAAUGCCAUAGAUUUAGUUCCGGGAGUCAGACAGUGAGUGCUAAGAUCCAUUGUCGAAAGGGAAACAGCCCAGACCAUCAGCUAAGGUCCCCAAGUGUGUGUUAAGUGGGAAAGGAUGUGGAGUUGCACAGACAACCAGGAUGUUGGCUUAGAAGCAGCCACCAUUGAAAGAGUGCGUAAUAGCUCACUGGUCGAGUGACUCUGCGCCGAAAAUGUAACGGGGCUAAACACACCACCGAAGCUAUGGCUUGAUGCUUGCAUCAGGGGUAGGGGAGCGUUGAAUGCGGAUUGAAGGUGUACCGUAAGGAGCGCUGGACUGCAUUCAAGUGAGAAUGCCGGUAUGAGUAACGAAAAGAUCUGUGAGAAUCAGAUCCGCCGAAAGCCUAAGGGUUCCUGAGGAAGGUUCGUCCGCUCAGGGUAAGUCGGGACCUAAGGCGAGGCCGAUAGGCGUAGUCGAAGGACAACAGGUCGAAAUUCCUGUACCACCGUAAUCCGUUAUGAGCGAUGGGGUGACGCAGUAGGGUAGUGACGCGGACUGAUGGAUGUCCGUCUAAGCAGUGAGGCUGGUGUGUAGGCAAAUCCGCACAUCGUAAGGCUGGGCUGUGAUGGGGAGCGAAAAUUGUAGUAGCGAAGGUCAUGAUCUCAGACUGCCAAGAAAAGCCUCUAGCCAGGAGAAGGUGCCCGUACCGCAAACCGACACAGGUAGGCGAGAAGAGAAUUCUAAGGCGCGCGGAAGAACUCUCGUUAAGGAACUCGGCAAAAUGACCCCGUAACUUCGGGAGAAGGGGUGCCUCGGUAGGGUGAAUAGCCCGAGGGGGCCGCAGUGAAAAGGCCCAAGCGACUGUUUAGCAAAAACACAGGUCUGUGCGAAGCCGCAAGGCGAAGUAUACGGGCUGACGCCUGCCCGGUGCUGGAAGGUUAAGGGGAGUGGUAAGCCUUCGGGCGAAGCUAUGAACCGAAGCCCCAGUAAACGGCGGCCGUAACUAUAACGGUCCUAAGGUAGCGAAAUUCCUUGUCAGGUAAAUUCUGACCCGCACGAAUGGCGUAACGACUUGGGCGCUGUCUCAACGAGAGAUCCGGUGAAAUUUUAAUACCUGUGAAGAUGCAGGUUACCCGCGACAAGACGGAAAGACCCCAUGGAGCUUUACUGCAGCUUGAUAUUGAAUUUGGGUACGAUCUGUACAGGAUAGGUGGGAGCCGUUGAACUUUGAGCGCCAGCUUGAAGGGAGGCAUCCUUGGGAUACCACCCUGAUCGUAUCUAGGUUCUAACUUGGUACCGUAAUCCGGUGCGAGGACAGUGUCAGGUGGGCAGUUUGACUGGGGCGGUCGCCUCCUAAAGAGUAACGGAGGCGCCCCAAGGUUCCCUCAGAAUGGUUGGAAAUCAUUCGAAGAGUGCAAAGGCAGAAGGGAGCUUGACUGCGAGACCUACAAGUCGAGCAGGGACGAAAGUCGGGCUUAGUGAUCCGGUGGUACCGCAUGGAAGGGCCAUCGCUCAACGGAUAAAAGCUACCCUGGGGAUAACAGGCUUAUCUCCCCCAAGAGUCCACAUCGACGGGGAGGUUUGGCACCUCGAUGUCGGCUCAUCGCAUCCUGGGGCUGAAGUAGGUCCCAAGGGUUGGGCUGUUCGCCCAUUAAAGCGGUACGCGAGCUGGGUUCAGAACGUCGUGAGACAGUUCGGUCCCUAUCUGUCGUGGGCGUAGGAAAUUUGAGAGGAGCUGUCCUUAGUACGAGAGGACCGGGAUGGACGUACCGCUGGUGUACCAGUUGUUCCGCCAGGAGCACCGCUGGGUAGCUAUGUACGGAAGGGAUAAGCGCUGAAAGCAUCUAAGCGUGAAGCCCCCCUCAAGAUGAGAUUUCCCAGUAUGUAAGACCCCUUGAAGACGACGAGGUAGAUAGGUUGGGGGUGGAAGUGCAGUAAUGCAUGGAGCUGACCAAUACUAAUCGGUCGAGGGCUUAUCCUAA